CCCUUAGAUGUUCGGGGCCGCACGCGCGCUACACUGACGAUGUCAACGAGUCUCUCCUUGGCCGAAAGGUCUGGGUAAUCUUCUGAAACAUCGUCGUGCUGGGGAUAGAUCAUUGCAAUUUUUGAUCUUGAACGAGGAAUUCCUAGUAAGCGCGAGUCAUCAGCUCGCGUUGAUUACGUCCCUGCCCUUUGUACACACCGCCCGUCGCUACUACCGAUUGAAUGGUUUAGUGAGGACUCCUGAUUGGCGCCGCCGCCCCGGCAACGGAGCAGUGGACUGCCGAAAAGUUGUCCAAACUUGAUCAUUUAGAGGAAGUAAAAGUCGUAACA
rnacentral:rRNA from 1 species